rnacentral:sRNA from 1 species
CGCCCGUCAAACCACGAAAGUGAACAAUACCCAAAGCCGGUGGCCUAACCCGAAAGGGAGGGAGCCGUCUAAGGUAGGGUUCAUGAUUGGGGUUAAGUCGUAACAAGGUAUCCCUACGGGAACGUGGGGAUGGAUCACCUCCUUUCUAAGGAGAAAGGCUUACUAAUAAUAAGCAAAAAUAGCUUAGUAGCAUAAGCUAAACAAUUUCUUCAUGUUCAUCAUAUUCAGUUUUGAGAGACUUAUGUUUCUCAGAAAAAAGUAUCAAAUUGAGUCUUUGAAAAGUAGAUAAAUGAUGUCAGAAAUGAUUAAAAAAGGUUAAGGAAGAAAGGGCAUGCAGUGGAUGCCUUGGCACCAAGAGGCGAUGAAGGACGGAACUAACACCGAAAUGCCGGGAGUAGCUGUAAGUAAGCGACGAUCCCCGGAUGUCCGAAUGGGGGAACCCACCAUGUGGAAGACAUGGUACAGUCGUAAGACUGAGCGACACGCAGGGAAUUGAAAUAUCUCACGUACCUGCAGGAAAAGAAAGUAAAAACGAUUCUGUCAGUAGCGACGAGCGAACGCGGAGGAGCCAGAUAACUAAGGUUACAAAAUCAUAUCAUAGGUGAACGACUUGGGAAGGUCGGGCAUAGAGGGUGAUACCCCCGUAAUCGAAAUGGUAUAAUCCAUGUUAUCAAAAAGUAGGGCGGGACACGAGAAAUCCCGUUUGAAGAUAGGAGGACCAUCUCCUAAGGCUAAAUACUACUUGGUGACCGAUAGUGAACCA